rnacentral:misc_RNA from 1 species
UAGACAGUGGGUCCCACUCCUAGCUGCAAUAAGCAAGCAAAUGAAAAUGCAUAAGUACUAAAGCAAAACGAUGAAUUUUAGUUUGAGUUAGUGCCACAAUGCCAAGCGAAAGCUCUUAAGUAACAUGUUAGUUGUGUUACUAAAAGCUAUAGCUCUAGAAAGUAAUAAACAAAUGAACACAAGCCAUCAGGCAGAAAAUUUGUGAAGCCAGACAUAAAAAUGCUGAGUAAACAUGAACCAAAUGUUAACAACAAGAAUCUUAUAAAGUAAAAACAGUUUCAUUAACAUUUCACAAUGAUGAUAACAGUUUAGAAUAACUCUUGUUGAAUGAAUAUCAUUAAUUAACAAAUUCAUAUAUAAACUGAAAACUAGACUUAGUUUGAAUGGAAUACGUCCAUUCAUUUUGCAGAAAAUAUUUUCACGAAAAACACUUUUUGUAUUUUUCUAGCUGUUGGAAUUGAUGAGAUUCCAAGCUCCAACUCAAGGGGAAGUGCAAUGAAAAGUCAAUAUUUAUAUUUAAUAUAUUCCUAUUUAGUGUAUGAUUUAUGUUCCUAAAUAGGUGGAAUUUAUAUUUCUAAUUAAGAAUAGGAGAUUUGUAUACAAAUAUUUAUUCUUCUAUUUUAUAGAUUGGCAAAAGAAGAAAGCUGUAGCCUCUUGAGUUAUUUUCCUUCUCUUCUCUUCCUCCUGCUUCUAAUUCUUAAAUCUUAACACUAGUAUUUGCCACACGGGAAAGUUGAUUGAUGGAAAUGUUUCCUGAUAAAAGGACAAACUGUAUUGUUUUCUUCAAAUUGAAUUCAUGUUUUCAGACCAGGAAAGUGUUUCUUGGAAUUCCACAAACAUAUUGAAGGGAAAAGAACAUGUAGUACAUGUGAACCAUUAAAGGUCAUACCUUCUAGUCUUCUAGCUUGAUGUAGUCAAAUCAAAUUAGAUUUAAGUAUCAUUUAAUUUCAUUCUUCAGUAUGAAAUUUAUGCUUUUUUUUUUUUUAGAUUUUCUAUUAAAGAAACUUUGGGUUUUGUACUACUUAGGAUUUUUUAUUGUCAUUAGAAAAAUGCUUAAAACCAAUCCUUUCAUUAAAAAAAAAAAUCCUUUAAGCAUUUUUUUUUAAGUUUAACCAAUCCUUUUAAUUUUACCAAAUUUAGCCUUACAAUGGUAUUAAACUGAUGAAUCACACAAUGAAACUAUGAAAAAGACUAAUUAAGUGCAAACUUAGCGACACUACUAAGGUAUUGGAGAACCAGUUUGACUUUAUGCCUGAUAAAUCAACAACAGAACCUAUCUUUUUAGUAAGAAGAAUAAUGAAAAUAUAUAAAUAGAGGAAAAGGGAUCUCCACAUGGCAUUGACCUAGAAAAGGCAUAUGAUAGAGUAUCAAGAAAUGUUCUUUGGUGGAUGCUAGAGUAGGAAGGAGUUAAUAUCAAGUAUAUAAAUGUGAUUAAACACAUGUAUAGGAGGCGGUCACAAGUGUAAGAACAAUGGAAGGGGAUAUGUACGAGUUUCCAUGACAGUGGGUUUACAUCAAGGAUCGACUUUGAAUUCCUACAUGUUUACCUUACUUAUGAAUGAGUUGAGCAAUCAUAUUCAAUAUGAUGUCCUAUGGUGCAUGUUAUUUGCAAAUGAU